rnacentral:rRNA from 1 species
AGAGUUUGAUCAUGGCUCAGAUUGAACGCUGGCGGUAGGCUUAACACAUGCAAGUCGUGCGAGAAAGUAUCUUCGGAUAUGAGUAGAGCGGCGGACGGGUGAGUAACGCGUAGGAAUCUACCUAGUAGAAGGGGAUAGCCCGGGGAAACUCGGAUUAAUACCGUAUACCUCCUUCGGGAGAAAGAAGGCCUCUCUUUGAAGCUUUCGCUAUUAGAUGAGCCUGCGUAAGAUUAGCUUGUUGGUGAGGUAAAGGCUCACCAAGGCGACGAUCUUUAGCGGGUCUGAGAGGACGAUCCGCCACAUUGGGACUGAGACACGGCCCAGACUCCUACGGGAGGCAGCAGUGGGGAAUAUUGGACAAUGGGCGCAAGCCUGAUCCAGCCAUACCGCGUGUGUGAAGAAGGCCCUAGGGUUGUAAAGCACUUUAAGUUGGGAAGAAAAGUUAUUGGUUAAUAUCCAAUAACCGUGACAUUACCAUCAGAAUAAGGACCGGCUAAUUCCGUGCCAGCAGCCGCGGUAAUACGGAAGGUCCAAGCGUUAAUCGGAAUUACUGGGCGUAAAGCGCGCGUAGGUGGUUUAUUAAGUUGGAUGUGAAAUCCCCGGGCUCAACCUGGGAACUGCAUCCAAAACUGAUUCACUAGAGUACGAUAGAGGGAGGUAGAAUUCACAGUGUAGCGGUGGAAUGCGUAGAUAUUGUGAAGAAUACCAAUGGCGAAGGCAGCCUCCUGGAUCUGUACUGACACUGAGGUGCGAAAGCGUGGGUAGCGAACAGGAUUAGAUACCCUGGUAGUCCACGCCGUAAACGAUGUCAACUAGCUGUUGGAGAACUAUGUUCUUCAGUGGCGCAGCUAACGUAGUAAGUUGACCGCCUGGGGAGUACGGCCGCAAGGCUAAAACUCAAAUGAAUUGACGGGGACCCGCACAAGCGGUGGAGCAUGUGGUUUAAUUCGAUGCAACGCGAAAAACCUUACCUAUACUUGACAUACUUGGAAUGCUUUGUAAUGAAGCAGUGCCUUCGGGAGCUAAGAUACAGGUGCUGCAUGGCUGUCGUCAGCUCGUGUCGUGAGAUGUUCCGUUAAGUCGGAUAACGAGCGCAACCCUUACCCUUAUUUGCCAGCGAUUCGGUCGGGAACUAUAAGGGGACUGCCGGUGAUAAACCGGAGGAAGGUGAGGACGACGUCAAGUCAUCAUGGCCCUUACGUAUAGGGCUACACACGUGCUACAAUGGAGAAUACAGACGGACGCUAAGCCGCGAGGUGGUGCUAAUCCUAGAAAAUUCUUCGUAGUCCGGAUUGGAGUCUGCAACUCGACUCCAUGAAGUCGGAAUCGCUAGUAAUCGCGAAUCAGCAUGUCGCGGUGAAUACGUUCUCGGGUCUUGUACACACCGCCCGUCAUACCAUGGAAGUGGAUUGCACCAGAAGUAGAUAGUCUAACCUUCGGGAGGGCGUUUACCACGGUGUGCUUCAUGACUGGGGUAAAGUCGUAACAAGGUAGCCGUAGGGGAACCUGUGGCUG